GGGCUUGUGGUUUAGUGGUAUAAUACUCCCUUAGCAUCUACAGCAUCUACAGCAUCUACGAUCACACAGAUCCUGUGGUAUGGCUUGGGAGUGGUCCGGGGUUCGAUUCCCCGCGAGUCCA